GAGUUUGAUCCUGGCUCAGAUUGAACGCUGGCGGCAGGCCUAACACAUGCAAGUCGAGCGGAAACGAGUUAACUGAACCUUCGGGGAACGUUAACGGCGUCGAGCGGCGGACGGGUGAGUAAUGCCUGGGAAAUUGCCCUGAUGUGGGGGAUAACCAUUGGAAACGAUGGCUAAUACCGCAUAAUAGCUUCGGCUCAAAGAGGGGGACCUUCGGGCCUCUCGCGUCAGGAUAUGCCCAGGUGGGAUUAGCUAGUUGGUGAGGUAAUGGCUCACCAAGGCGACGAUCCCUAGCUGGUCUGAGAGGAUGAUCAGCCACACUGGAACUGAGACACGGUCCAGACUCCUACGGGAGGCAGCAGUGGGGAAUAUUGCACAAUGGGCGCAAGCCUGAUGCAGCCAUGCCGCGUGUAUGAAGAAGGCCUUCGGGUUGUAAAGUACUUUCAGCAGUGAGGAAGGUGGGUAUGUUAAUAGCAUACUCGUUUGACGUUAGCUGCAGAAGAAGCACCGGCUAACUCCGUGCCAGCAGCCGCGGUAAUACGGAGGGUGCGAGCGUUAAUCGGAAUUACUGGGCGUAAAGCGCAUGCAGGUGGUUUGUUAAGUCAGAUGUGAAAGCCCGGGGCUCAACCUCGGAAUUGCAUUUGAAACUGGCAAACUAGAGUACUGUAGAGGGGGGUAGAAUUUCAGGUGUAGCGGUGAAAUGCGUAGAGAUCUGAAGGAAUACCGGUGGCGAAGGCGGCCCCCUGGACAGAUACUGACACUCAGAUGCGAAAGCGUGGGGAGCAAACAGGAUUAGAUACCCUGGUAGUCCACGCCGUAAACGAUGUCUACUUGGAGGUUGGGGCCUUGAGCCGUGGCUUUCGGAGCUAACGCGUUAAGUAGACCCCCUGGGGGAGGACGGGCCCCAAAGAAUAAAAA
rnacentral:rRNA from 1 species